rnacentral:rRNA from 1 species
GACGAACGCUGGCGGCGUGCUUAAUACAUGCAAGUCGAGCGAGGUUACUGUUUUGGAUCCCUUCGGGGUGAAGAAGCUUUAACCUAGCGGCGGACGGGUGAGUAACGCGUGGGUAACCUACCCCAAAGUCCGGGAUAACAGCGGGAAACCGCUGCUAAUACCGGAUGCCUUUACCUUGGGGCAUCUUGAGGUAAAGAAAGGUAACGCUUUGGGAUGGGCCCGCGUCCCAUUAGCUAGUUGGUGAGGUAACGGCUCACCAAGGCGACGAUGGGUAGCCGGCCUGAGAGGGUGGACGGCCACACUGGGACUGAGACACGGCCCAGACUCCUACGGGAGGCAGCAGUAGGGAAUAUUGCGCAAUGGACGGAAGUCUGACGCAGCGACGCCGCGUGAGCGAUGAAGGUCUUCGGAUCGUAAAGCUCUGUCCUUGGGGAAGAAGGUCUUCGGACUUGACGGUACCCAAGAAGAAAGCCCCGGCUAACUACGUGCCAGCAGCCGCGGUAAUACGUAGGGGGCGAGCGUUGUCCGGAAUUACUGGGCGUAAAGGGUGCGUAGGCGGCCCUUUAAGUCGGAUGUGAAAGCCCGCGGCUUAACCGCGGAAUGGCAUUCGAAACUGGAGGGCUUGAGUGUCGGAGAGGGUAGUGGAAUUCCCAGUGUAGCGGUGAAAUGCGUAGAUAUUGGGAGGAACACCAGUGGCGAAGGCGACUACCUGGACGAUAACUGACGCUGAGGCACGAAAGCUAGGGGAGCAAACAGG